CAGCAGCCGCGGGAAUACAGAGGGUGCGAGCGUUAAUCGGAUUUACUGGGCGUAAAGCGUGCGUAGGCGGCUUCUUAAGUCGGAUGUGAAAUCCCUGAGCUUAACUUAGGAAUUGCAUUCGAUACUGGGAAGCUAGAGUAUGGGAGAGGAUGGUAGAAUUCCAGGUGUAGCGGUGAAAUGCGUAGAGAUCUGGAGGAAUACCGAUGGCGAAGGCAGCCAUCUGGCCUAAUACUGACGCUGAGGUACGAAAGCAUGGGAAGCAAACAGGAUUAGAUACCCGGGUAGUCCCUGUCUCUUAUAC
rnacentral:rRNA from 1 species